AUUUCCCAAAUUACUUUCUCUUCUUCUCCAAUUUCUGCCUGAGCAUUUCCAUGGAUGAGCUUCGUUCUUCUCCACAUUUUUUCAUGAUAUCAUAGCAGCCGAUGUUGAUUGCUCGUGUAAUCUGAUUUCAUUUUUCCUCUUGCACAGCUUCCUAUUACUUCUUCCUUUUCUAGCUUUUUGUGGUGCGAAAAUGGUGACUGACUCGACAACUGAGGAGCCAGCACUUGCAUACACUCAUCCAUUAUAUCUUGGACCUUCUGACACUCUUAGCGGGGUUUUGAUUCUGAUUAAGCUUACCGGAUCUGAAAACUAUGGACUUUGGAGUCGACCGAUGAAGAUUGCUCUUUUAGGGAAAAGGAAGCUAGGGUUUGUGAUGGUACUUGCACAAAGGAGUCGUGCAAAGCAGAAUUGCAUGAGCAAUGGGAAACUUGUAAUGUUAUUGUACUUUCAUGGCUGAUGAACACUGUAUCUACAGAACUUUUGAGUGGAAUUGCAUAUGCUAUGAAUGCUCAACUGGUUUGGGAAGAUCUGAGAGAGAGAUUCGAUAACGGCAAUCGCAUGCGCAUUUUCCAGUUACACAAAGCCAUCCACACUCUGUCAUAAGGUACUAACUUUGUAUCUACUUAUUUCACAAAAUUGAAGAGUCUAUGGAAUGAGUAUGAUGUUAUAGUGCCAACUCCCAAUUCCAAAGAUUAUGUGGAUCAUAUGCAGCAACAGAGGUUAUUACAAUUCCUUAGUGGCUUAAAUGACUCAUACGAUCAAGCCAAGAGGCAGAUCUUGUUGAAGUCCAGUGUUCCCUCACUUAAUCAAGUAUAUGCUAUAAUUAUUGAGGAUGAAGCUCACAAUUACCUAGUUUGACUGCAAUAGGAAUCAAGUCAGAUCCAAUGGCUAUGCAAGUUAGUCAAGGACAAAGCUACAAAGGCAAACGACCUUAUAUAUGCAAUAUGAAUGUUGCAACCUAAAAGGACAUACCAAGGAGAACUGCUAUAAGUUAAUAGGAUACUCUGCAGACUUUAAGAAUAAGAAGUUUGGACAGGGUGUUGGUGGCUUUGGGACUCAACAAGGGGGUCAUUACAGGAGACCAUAACAACAGCAAGCUUUAACAGCCAUGGAUAAUAUAGUCUGGGAGUUCAAUUGCCAACAUAGUCAAACACUGAGGGAAAGGAACCGAUUGCAGCAAAUUUUUCACUGAUAAGCAGUAUCAACAGAUUUUAGCAUUGCUAAACAAGGAUACUGGGGAGAGUCAUGCAAAUUUGCUAGGUCUGAGGAUGACAAGAAUAAGUUUCAGAAACAUGUUCUAGUGGAAACUACAAACAAGGAAGAUUGCAAGCUAUGGUAUAUGAGGCUAGGGAAUCCCUCCAUCACAUAUACGAAGAGUAUGAGUUUACUAAGUCACAAUAUAAAUAGUUCACUACCGAAUCAUUUCCCAAUUUGUCCUCUUGCUAAGCAGACUAGGUUAAAAAUUCCUAUAAGUAAUUCUAGAGAUGCAACACCAUUUCAUCUUGUACAUAUAGAUCUUUGGUGGCCUUUCCUAUUUUUGGUUUAAAAAAAAUACUAUUUCAUGACCAUUGUGGAUGAUCACAGUAGAUUUACUUAGAUUUCUUUGUUAAAAUUGAAAAUUGAAGUCAUAGUUGCUAUAA